AAGAAGACCUGGUUAGUGAAAGGGAACUGUGUGGAGUGGAACACACACACAGGGCGUAUAUUCCAAUACAGAUUUUCCAUUCUUUUUGGUGAUCAAAGGAGAGAGAAUAAAAUAUUUGUGAUGCGUUAAACGUACGUACACAGAUGGAGGAUGUCAUCAGUGGGUUCCUCCUCGAUGGUCAUAACGAUUUGUAAUGAUACGACCCCCUUUCAUUUAUGCGACGUACUCCAGAUAUAUAUUUUCAGUAAUAUAUAUAUAUAUAUAUAUAUAUGGUUGAGGAGAAUCUUCUUAUCACCUGACACGGAGAAGUUUAUUAGUUGGAAUUUGCUUACAUAACCAAAUCAAAAUUGGAGAAUUUACAACUCAGACUAGCCUCGGCCAGGAUCCAAGGUGGCAAGGUUUUAUGGAGCGAACGGCCCACGGUCAAAUUGAUUGUGAGUGUGUAAAUGGUUGAGUGGUCAGAUCCAUCAAUCAUGUUUUUAUGCACAAAACGGACACUGCACGGGGGACUUCUUCGUCCAUGACAAAACUGGUGAGAUUCGUCAUUUGACAAAUCGACAUACAUGGACAAGGACAUAGUGUGCUCCACCCAUUGGAUUCCAGUUUUAAAAAGCAAUUUGCUUUAUUAAAAAAAGAAAAUCCCCCCUUCAUAUAUCAUCUACAAAUUUAUUAAUGCUUCUGACUAUGAUUUUAAAACCAUCCACAAAAUAAGUCGAUUUCAAUAAUUCAGUUUUACUUUCUAAA